AGUUAGAUCUUGGAACUGAGUCCAGCAGCACUGAGGUCAGAGAGAUGGCUAAAGCUAAAAGCAAACUGGAUGCUGUUCAGGAGGUUCUCCUUUGUCAUUUUUAUCUCCAAAUAGAAGACCUCUGUUUUCCCAGAAGAUUAAAUAGUAGAAAAGAAGUAGCCCAAGUACCAUUGUGUCUUGAAUCCAGCUUGGCCAUAAGGAAAUGGGGCGAGACUUUGUCAUGUAUGUCGCUGAAGUUCAGCUAUGCAAAAAUGUUCACCUAUCCUUGAUCAACCAGUCCAGGAACCAUCAAAGAAGAAAAUGAGAUUCGACUUAGAAGACCUGUUCUUUAUAAACCCCUGCACAGCCCUAAUGAUCAACACCACUUCCAGUGCUCAUAAAUUACUGCUUCAAUAAUUGUUCUGCAAUUCUGCCUAUUCUCAUUGAAUGCUUCGUAUAAUCCCUUUAUUUACUUUGGGCUACGAUUCAUUUUUAUCAGUGAGUAUUGUACUUGUUUCAUCU
rnacentral:lncRNA from 10 species